GAACUAACAAGGAUUCCCCUAGUAACUGCGAGUGAAGCGGGAAAAGCUCAAAUUUAAAAUCUGGCAGUCUUUGGCUGUCCGAGUUGUUAUCUAGAGAAGUGUUAUCUGCGCUGGACCGUGAACAAGUCUCCUGGAAUGGAGCGUCAUAGAGGGUGAGAAUCCCGUACUUGACACGGACUGCCAGGGCUCUGUGAUGCGCUCUCAAAGAGUCGAGUUGUUUGGGAAUGCAGCUCAAAAUGGGUGGUAAAUUCCAUCUAAAGCUAAAUAUUGGCGAGAGACCGAUAGCGAACAAGUACCGUGAGGGAAAGAUGAAAAGAACUUUGGAAAGAGAGUUAAACAGUACGUGAAAUUGCUGAAAGGGAAACGCUUGAAGUCAGUCGUGUUGGCCAGGAAUCAGCCCUGCUAUUAAGCAUGGUGUAUUUUCUGGCUGAUGGGCCAGCAUCAAUUUUGACCAUUGGAUAAAAUUAUGAGGAAUGUGACAUUUCAUUUUGGAAUGUGUUAUAGACUCUUACUGUAUGCAAUGGUUGGGAUUGAGGAAUUCAGCACGCCGAAAGGCCGGGAGACAUCUCCACGUUCGUGCUUAGGAUGCUGGCAUAAUGGCUUUAAUCGACCCGUCUUGAAACACGGACCAAGGAGUCUAACAUGCCUGCGAGUAUUUGGGUGGAAAACCCAUAUGCGCAAUGAAAGUGAAAGUUGAGAUCCUUGUUGUGAGGAGCAUCGACGCCCGGACCUGACGUUUUCUGAUGGUUCCGCGGUAGAGCAUGUAUGUUGGGACCCGAAAGAUGGUGAACUAUGCCUGAAUAGGGUGAAGCCAGAGGAAACUCUGGUGGAGGCUCGUAGCGAUUCUGACGUGCAAAUCGAUCGUCAAAUUUGGGUAUAGGGGCGAAAGACUAAUCGAACCAUCUAGUAGCUGGUUCC
rnacentral:rRNA from 1 species